GACGUAGGAUGCGAGCGUUGUUCGGAUUUAUUGGGCGUAAAGCGUGCGUAGGCGGUCCGUUAAGUCUGGUGUCAAAGUCAGAGGCUCAACCUCUGUUCGCACUGGAUACUGGCGGACUCGAGUCCGGUAGGGGGAGUUGGAAUUCCGAGUGUAGCGGUGAAAUGCGUAGAUAUUCGGAGGAACACCAGCGGCGAAGGCGAACUCCUGGGCCGGCACUGACGCUGAGGCACGAAAGCGUGGGGAGCAAACGGG
rnacentral:rRNA from 1 species